UUGCCUAAUUGGUAAGGCAGCGGUCUUGAAAACCGCCGGGUUAACGCCUAUGAGGGUUCGAGUCCCUU
rnacentral:tRNA from 1 species